CUUGUUUUGUCACUGUUUCUUUUGACAUGCCCACUGCCUGAUGAUAUCAGCAGAAGUGGUGGCCUGAUCCAAUCACAGUGCUUCUCCAGUGCUUGGCUGAGACUGACAAGUAGGCAGAUCAGGGGCAGAGCCAGCACAAUUCAAACACAGCACUGGCCAAUCAGCAUCUCCUCAUAGAGAUACAUUAAAUAAAUGAAUCUCUAUGAGGAAAGUUCAGUGUCUGCAUGCAGAGGGAGGAGACUAUGAAUGUUUGGAUGCAUUUUAGGCAGCCAUGACCCAGGAAGAAUAUCUAACAGCCACAUGGGGAGUGGCCAAUGAAGUUAUCACUAGGCUGUAAUGUAAAUACUGCAUUUUCUCUGAAAAGACAGUGUUUACAGUAAAAAGCCUGAAGGUAUUGACUCUACUCACCAGAACAAAUUCAAUAAGCCGUAGUUGUUCUGGUGACUAUAGUGUCCCUUUAAGCCC